ACAGCAGUUUCUGUCACUAUGAAAGCUGGAGUGAAACUUCCUGGUGAGUACCAGCUUGAUUUUCCAUCGCCCUACAGCUCAAGCUUGUGAUGUCUUUAACGCAGGAUCUUAUCAUCAAGUUCUGGAACACAACUAAGACCAAUAGUAAUGACAGCAGGAGUUUUAGGAGUUUACUGUGGUGGUUUGAAUAGGUUUGGACCCCAUAGACUCAUGUGUUUGAAUGCUUGGCCCAUAGGGAGGGGCACAUUAGGAGGUGUAGCUUUGUUGGAGUAGGAGUGGCUAUGUUGGAGGAAAGAUGUCAUUGUUGAGGUGGAGAGUGGGGGUUUUGAGGUGUCCUAUACUUAAUCUAUGCCUGGUGUGGCACAAUCUUUCCCCUGCUGCCUGCAGAACUCUCAGCUCCAUCUCUAGCACUGUGCAGGCCUGUAUGCUGCCCUGCUCCUCACCAUGAGGGAAAUGGACUAAAUUUCUGAAACUUAAGCCAAUCCUAAUAAAAUGUUAUCCAUUAAAAGAGUCACUGUGGUCAUAGUGUCUCUUCGCAGCAAUGAAACCUUAACUAAGGCAGUAACCAAUUGCUAUCUGAUUGAAUUUAAGACCUGUUUCACAAGACAGAAUUGUUAGUGUUCUGGCAGAAUGUCUGUGAGUGUCAUCUGGGUUAAAAUCCUAUGGUUGGGUGGAUCAUAGGCCCUAGGGGAAAACCUACUGUCAUUCUGUUCAAUUAACAACGUAUUAAACUGUCCCCCAUGCACUUCGACGUGUCAGUAUCUGCGGCUUUCAAUUCUCAGCAGUGAAGCUUCAUUUAUGCAGUAGAUGGGAUUACUACAGAGACUCACAUCUGGUCAGAGUGCAGAGAAUAAGAAGCUAUAGAGUGUUCAACUUAAAUGGGACGUCUGUACCACACUCCUUAGCCACAGGCACAGGAAUGGACUCAGAAGAAGGGUCAGAAAGAUGGCAAGAGCUAAGGGUGUAAGACUGCUUUGAUGCAAGUGUUUUAUGGCCAUUAUAGGACCACUGCAAAUGUGAACUCACAGUGGGCCAUGCCAGAUGAACAAGACCUGCACAAGACCAAGCCAGUCAAAGUCCCAGCAUAAAUGGAGCUCACAGAAAUCCUACCUCUGGCAACUAAUGGCUGCUAAGGGGAAAAGAGGCAGUAUUCUUGGGGUUUCGUUCUCACUAGGCUGCCCAAGUUACACUGGGCGGCCCAACACCCAUACAUGUACUGGAAGCCUCGGUACUCAGUGGGUUUAAAUACAGCUCAUGAAUUUGGGAGGGAAUAGAUAUAUGAGAAAGGCUUGAUCAAAGCACAUUAUAACACAUUCAUGUGUGAGAUUCUCUAACAAUAAUCAUUUUUAUUGCUAGGAAAAUCUCUACCGCUGAGAGUGGCGGUGGUAUAAACAGUACAAGUCUGAUGACGCACCAGGUCUCCUGAUAACGACAGACUGGGGACUGAGGCAAACCCAGCUUCGAUGGCACAGGGGUAAGAGAAGGUAGCAUCAGGUGAAGAGUGAGCGGGAAUGAGCAGAAAGCAGCAGCAGAUACUUCUAACUAUAUUUAAACAUUGAUAGGAAAAGGGAGAGGAUAACCCAAACCCACUUGUUUGGUGGGAGAAACAAUCCCUGGGGUUCUAUGAAACUGCCCAUAAACAAGCUGAAGCUGUGGCCAACCCAAUGCUGCUGUAAGAAUUUUCACAACUUGAUUGGAGUCAUCUUUUCACUUUUGUAAAAAUUCCCUAGGAUCCAGACACCAUACUAUAGUCCUGUGGUCUUAGCUACCGGGGAGGCUGGCAUAGAGGGUUACAAGUUCAGGGACAGCCUUAGUGGAGACGUAAAGAACCCUGUCUCACAAUACAGAGUGAGAAGGACCUGGGGAUAGAGCCCAGAGGCAGAGCAUUUCCCCAGCACAGGUAAGGCCCAGGGUUGCAGGCAUUUAAAAAAAAAAAAAGCCCAAAAAACAAAACCAAAAACUUAAACCAGAAAGGAAGGAAGGAAGGAAGGAAGGAAGAAAGGACAGAGAAGGAAAUAGAGAAGGGUAAGGGAGAGAAAGAAAAAAAUUCCUAGGAGUAUAUGAAAUAACAUAUUUCAUUUAUGUAAAAAGUGUGUUCAGUGUGAUCUAUAAUAAAAUAUAUAUCCCAUUCAAUUUCUGGUUUGAAAUAAAUAGAAUUUCUUAGACUUUUUUAUAAUAUAGAUUAUUACCCAAAUAUUUUGAAUGCAUACAUAAAAUUGCAUAGCCUACCUUUAAACUCAUUUCCUC
rnacentral:lncRNA from 1 species